CUCUGAGUCCCGAUUUGUAUUCGCACUGGAGGCAGCUCAGACUCACCCCAUCUCCAAAGGGAAAAACCAAGUCUGCAUGUGGAGAUUCCUGGCUCUGUUACUCUGGGAUCAUCUGCUGGAAGUCUCUGGAGCACCAGGCCUGGAUUGCAGGGAGGAACAAAAACCAACAUCCUGCCUUUGUGAAGUCACAAGAUGAUGCCUUAAAACCAACAAAUACUUUUCAACCUGGGCGUCCCCACACACGAUCAUGUCCAGAGGGGUGCAAGUCUCAGCUGUGUCUACAUGGAAGGAAAAGGGGGAAACAUCUGGAUGAAAGCCAGCAACGUCCUGCCACUCUGCCAGAUGCUGCCCACAUCUGGACAUUCAAAAAGUGAUCUGUUCGGUGGCUUAGCAGUCGAGAAGCAAAUGGUCAGCCCACAUCACCCUAUCCAUCAGAACACAGAGCCCGAGUCCCUAUGCACAAUUACCCAGAUUACUGAAGGACUCAUAAGGUACUUUGGCUUCAAUCAUACUCAUCCUCAAAGGCCCAAAUCAAGUGAAAGUAAAGGCCAGAGUGUGGGGCUCAGUCCUUGUGCGCAUGGCAGCUGG
rnacentral:lncRNA from 1 species